UCCGGUUCUGAAAAUAGUUUACCUGUCACCUGAACAGGUAGAUUUCAGGCUUCACCGAUUUAAGCUGUCCAACAACUAAUUAGCCUUGAUUAAAAUUAGAAAGUAUUGAAGUAGGGGUUGUUUUGAUAGUAAUUAAUCAUCAUGUCACUUUUAUGACCGGAAAUGUGUGGCUGUUAAAGGCAAAAGGCUGUUAAAGAUCGUGAAUUAUGUAAAAAUGACCGAAAAAACCUUGAUAUCUAAAUAGUAAAAGACCGUUUCAUGCUUUUCCCAGCCGGACUUUUAACGGACAUUAUACAAUUGUCCGGAAUAUAUGACCGUUUUGGAAGCCUUG
rnacentral:lncRNA from 1 species